AUCAUGGAAAUGCUCAGUACGGCGAGUGAGCGGCAAAGCUCAAAUUUGAAAUCCCCCGGGAAUUGUAAUUUGAAGAGAUUUGGGUCCGGCCGGCGGGGGUUAAGUCCACUGGAAAGUGGCGCCACAGAGGGUGACAGCCCCGUGAGCCCCUCUAAAGCCUCUACCCCAGAUCUCCAAGAGUCGAGUUGUUUGGGAAUGCAGCUCUAAGUGGGUGGUAAAUUCCAUCUAAAGCAAAAUACCGGCGAGAGACCGAUAGCGAACAAGUACAGUGAUGGAAAGAUGAAAAGCACUUUGAAAAGAGAGUGAAAAAGUACGUGAAAUUGUUGAAAGGGAAGGGCUUGCAAGCAAACACUUAAC
rnacentral:rRNA from 1 species